rnacentral:lncRNA from 1 species
AAUUACUUUUUUUUAUAUAAUAUGCAAAAACACAAUUUUUUAGACUUCAGUUCUUUUGAAAGUUUAUAUAGAUAUGUAUGCUUACAAUAUGUUAAUAAGAUAAUAUUAUAUUAAUGAAACAAACAAACAUCAGUUCUCACACGGUACUACUGGUUCGGAGCCAGUAUGAUGACAUUCAACUCCCGGGUUCGAGAACUGGUACGAGAGAGGAGAGAGAGAAGAAGAAAUGGAAAAAAAUUGAUAUAUGAGGUAUUUUAAAAUACCUUUU